rnacentral:rRNA from 1 species
CCCUUUGUUUAUUAUACCUUUGUUGCUUUGGCGGGCCCGUCCUCGGACCACCGGCUUCGGCUGGUCAGUGCCCGCCAGAGGACCUAAAACUCUGUUUGUUCAUAUUGUCUGAGUACUAUAUAAUAGUUAAAACUUUCAACAACGGAUCUCUUGGUUCUGGCAUCGAUGAAGAACGCAGCGAAAUGCGAUAAGUAAUGUGAAUUGCAGAAUUCAGUGAAUCAUCGAAUCUUUGAACGCACAUUGCGCCCCCUGGUAUUCCGGGGGGCAUGCCUGUUCGAGCGUCAUUACAACCCUCAAGCUCUGCUUGGUAUUGGGCUCUGCCGGUCCCGGCAGGCCUUAAAAUCAGUGGCGGUGCCAUUCGGCUUCAAGCGUAGUAAUUCUUCUCGCUUUGGAGACCCGGGUGCGUGCUUGCCAGCAACCCCCAAUUUUUUCAGGUUGACCUCGGAUCAGGUAGGGAUACCCGCUGAACUUAAGCAUAUCAUA